rnacentral:rRNA from 1 species
AACGUACGCUUGGCGGCACGCCUAACACAUGCAAGUCGAACGAAGUAGCAAUACUUAGUGGCAGACGGGUGAGUAACAUGUAGGUAUCUGCCCUUUGGCCUGGAAUAACACGAGGAAACUUGUGCUAAUACCGGAUAAGUCUUUACGGAGAAAGCUUUAUGCACCAUUGGAUGAGCCUGCACUUGAUUAGUUUGUUGGUGGGGUAAUGGCCUACCAAGACUGUGAUCAAUAGCUGAUUUGAGAGGAUGAUCAGCCACAUUGGGACUGAGACACGGCCCAAACUCCUACGGGAGGCAGCAGUGGGGAAUCUUGCACAAUGGAGGAAACUCUGAUGCAGCGAUGCCGCGUGAGUGAAGAAGGCCCUUGGGUUGUAAAGCUCUUUCGUCGGGGAAGAAAAUGACUGUACCCGAAUAAGAAGGUCCGGCUAACUUCGUGCCAGCAGCCGCGGUAAUACGAAGGGACCUAGCGUAGUUCGGAAUUACUGGGCUUAAAGAGUUCGUAGGUGGUUGAAAAAGUUAGUGGUGAAAUCCCAGAGCUUAACUCUGGAACUGCCAUUAAAACUUUUCAGCUAGAGUAUGAUAGAGGAAAGCAGAAUUUCUAGUGUAGAGGUGAAAUUCGUAGAUAUUAGAAAGAAUACCAAUUGCGAAGGCAGCUUUCUGGAUCAUUACUGACACUGAGGAACGAAAGCAUGGGUAGCGAAGAGGAUUAGAUACCCUCGUAGUCCAUGCCGUAAACGAUGUGUGUUAGACGUUGGAAAUUUAUUUUCAGUGUCGCAGGGAAACCGAUAAACACACCGCCUGGGGAGUACGACCGCAAGGUUAAAACUCAAAUGAAUUGACGGGGACCCGCACAAGUAGUGGAGCAUGUGGUUUAAUUCGAAGAUACGCGCAGAACCUUACCAACACUUGACAUGUUCGUCGCGACUCUAAGAGAUUAGAGUUUUCGGUUCGGCCGGACGAAACACAGGUGCUGCAUGGCUGUCGUCAGCUCGUGUCGUGAGAUGUUGGGUUAAGUCCCGCAACGAGCGCAACCCUCACUUUUAGUUGCCAUCAUUAAGUUGGGCACUCUGAAAGAACUGCCAGUGAUAAGCUGGAGGAAGGUGGGGAUGACGUCAAGUCCUCAUGGCCCUUACGUGUUGGGCUACACACGUGCUACAAUGGUAUCUACAACAGGAAGCAAGACUGCGAAGUUAAGCAAAUCCCUAAAAGAUACCUCAGUUCGGAUUGCACUCUGCAACUCGAGUGCAUGAAGCUGGAAUUACUAGUAAUCGUGAAUCAGCGUGCCACGGUGAAUGCGUUCCCGGGUCU